CCUAUGGGGUGCAGCAGGCGAGAAAACUUUGCAAUGUGCGAAAGCACGACAAGGUUAAUCCGAGUGAUUUCUGCUAAAGGAAUCUUUUGUUAGUUCUAAAAAUACUAGUGAAUAAGGGGUGGGCAAGUUCUGGUGUCAGCCGCCGCGGUAAAACCAGCACCUCAAGUGGUCAGGAGGAUUAUUGGGCCUAAAGCAUCCGUAGCCUGUUCUAUAAGUUUGCGGUUAAAUCCAUAUGCUCAACAUAUGGGCUGCCGUAAAUACUGUAGAACUAUGGAGUGGGAGAGGUAGACGGUACUCGAUAGGAAGGGGUAAAAUCCUUUGAUCUAUUGAUGACCACCUGUGGCGAAUGCGGUCUACCAGAACACGUUCGACGGUGAGGGAUGAAAGCUGGGGGAGCAAACCGGAUUAGAUACCCGGGUAGUCACAGCUGUAAACGAUGCAGACUCGAUGAUGCAAUGGCAUAGAGCUAUUGCAGUAUCGCAGGGAAGCCGUUAAGUUUGCCGCCUGGGAAGUACGUACGCAAGUAUGAAACUUAAAGGAAUUGGCGGGGGAGCACCACAAGGGGUGAAGCCUGCGGUUCAAUUGGAGUCAACGCCAGAAAUCUUACCCGGAGAGACAGCAGAAUGAAGGUCAGGCUGAAGACCUUACCAGACAAGCUGAGAGGUGGUGCAUGGCCGUCGUCAGCUCGUGCCGUGAGAUGUCCUGUUAAGUCAGGUAACGAGCGAGAUCCCUGCCACUAGUUGCUAUCAUUACUCUCAGGAGUAGUGGGGCGAAUUAGUGGGACCGCCACAGUUAAUGUGGAGGAAGGAAGGGGCCACGGCAGGUCAGUAUGCCCCGAAACUCUGGGGCCACACGCGGGCUGCAAUGGUAGUGACAAUGGGCUCCUAACUCGAAAGAGAGAGGCAAUCCACAAACACUACCACAGUUAUGACUGAGGGCUGUAACUCGCCCUCACGAAUAUGGAAUCCCUAGUAACUGCGUGUCAUUACCGCGCGGUGAAUACGUCCCUGCUCCUUGCACUCACCGCCCGUC
rnacentral:rRNA from 1 species